GAUAUUAGCCUGUGAUGAUGUUAGCCUUUGAUGAUGUUAGCCUGUGUGAAAUGAUAUUAGCCUGUGAUGAUAUUAGGGUGUGGUGAUAUAAGCAUGUGUGAUGAUAUUAGCAUGUGUGUUGAUAUUAGCGUGUGUGUGUGUGUGUGUGUGUGUGGUGAUAUUAGCCUGUGAUGAUAUCAGCAUGUGUGGUGAUAUUAGCAUGUGGUGAUACUAGCAUGUGUGUGAGGAUAUUAGCUUGUUUUUUUUGUGAUGAGGUCAAAGACAAAUUCUUAAGUAUGUCAUCUGAGUUUUGUCUGAUUUGAACAUUCAUAUCAUUUCAUUUAUCCCACAAACACACACUAAAAAUCUUUUUUUAAAAAGAACCCAGAAAUGGUGAACAGAUCCGAAAGCAUAGAAGGAAAGUCCUAACUUUUUGAUGACUCAUUUUCAUUUGUCUCACUGUGUGGAUGAUGUAAUCCUUCAUUCCUCUGAAUGACACAAGCCUAAGUCCAUCUGAGAUCAGGAAUUGUUCCAUGAUUAAAACUCAUUUAUUUCCAAA